GAUGAAGAACGUAGCGAAAUGCGAUAAGUAAUGUGAAUUGCAGAAUUCAGUGAAUCAUCGAAUCUUUGAACGCACCUUGCGCCCUUUGGCUAUUCCAGAGGGCAUGCCUGUUUGAGUAUCAUGAACACCUCAACUCUCAUGGUUCUGCCAUGAUGAGCUUGGACUUUGGAGGUCUUGCUGGCCCCUGUGGUCAGCUCCUCUCAAAUGGAUCAGCUUGCCAGUGUUUGGUGGCAUCACAGGUGUGAUAACUAUCUACGCUUGUGGUUUUCCACCAGGUAACCUUCAGUGAUGGAGGUUCGCUGGAGCUCAUAAACGUCUCUCCUCAGCGAGGACAGCUUCUUGAGCGUUUGAUCUCAAAUCAGGUAGGGCUACCCGCUGAACUUAAGCAUAUCAAUAAGCGGAGGA
rnacentral:misc_RNA from 1 species